UACAGAGGUCCCGAGCGUUGUUCGGAUUCAUUGGGCGUAAAGGGUGCGUAGGCGGCGGGGAAAGUCUGAUGUGAAAUCCUGGGGCUCAACCCUGGGAUGCCGGUGGAUACUGUCGGGCUCGAGUCCGGAAGAGGCGAGUGGAAUUCCUGGUGUAGCGGUGAAAUGCGCAGAUAUCAGGAGGAACACCAAUGGCGAAGGCAGCUCGCUGGGACGUGACUGACGCUGAGACGCGAAAGCGUGGGGAGCAAACAGG
rnacentral:rRNA from 1 species